CUGAGAGCCUGUCACCAAUGCAGAUAGAGCUGCAGUCAGAUUUCAAUCAGAACAAGGCACUGCAAAGGAAGGAACUGCUGUGGAAAACAUAACUUCUUUCCAAGGCAGGGAGCACACGGCAGAGAGAUGAGUCCCAGUGAUGUUCCAAGAGCACCUCUCAGCAUUUAACAGGAAGAGCAACACCUUCCAAGAGCUAGAAACAGAAUCACACUUCUCACUGUUUCUUUCACCAAGCUCACAAUAACAACCACAGUAGGAGCUACAGCUGCAGCUGCUGUCUUCAUCCUCUCCCACAUUCACCUCCUAAACACAAAUCAUCCUCCUCUGCCCCAGCCAGGCAUUAGGAUCACCCCCACCUUGUACAAAGGGCAGAGUCUUCCAUGCAUUGUGAAUGCUCUGGAGAUGGUAUCAAAUUAUGGAAAAAUCUUUUCAAGGCCAGACCACUGUGAGACAUCCUAAAAUUUAGGAGACCAAACUUCCAGUCAUGCUUUGAAAAUUUUCUCCUUUGCUUUUCAUUGUGUUCUGUUAAUUUUCCUUUCAGUUCAUAGCUAUCCAAAUGGAUUAAGAACAUUUGCUCUUCUGAGAUGAAGUUACAUUUUCAUCAUACAAACUUUACAAUCCAAAAAGGAUCACCCUAAUAAUCCUUGAAUUCCCUCUAUAAACUCAUCAGAAGAGAAAUGAACAAGCAUAACAUGUAUUUGGAAGUGAGUUUCCAAACCCUCCCUUUGUCUCAUCUUCCUUUUGGAAUGACCAGUUAACCUGGUCUUUUCAAUACUCAUUUAAUGAAGCAUUCUGUGUGAUUAGAAUGACAUUGAUGUUCCACUUUUCAAAUAAUGGGUCACUUCUGAUUAAACUUCGACUGAACAUUCAACUUUCAAUCUUAAAACAAAUUGUCUCCUUUUCUUUUUAAUUUGAACCCAAUUUCCUGCUGCCCUUGGGUCUUGUGACAGUAAUUAAUUGAUAUAUGAAUCAAUUAAAUGGAGAUCGAAAAUGCAGGUGAAAAUCUCUCAAAACCCCAAAUCUGGCUUACUCUUGCUUAUUUAUGAUGGACACUUGCACUAAAAUUCACUUCUGAUUUACUACACUCAUUUUUCUAACUUAACUUAUCCUUCCCCAACUAAUUAAGUGAACAAAAUGUUUCACCUUCUAAAGGUACUAAAUUUGCCAUCCCUUGUGUACUCUCUUAUAACAUGCCUUCAAUUUAUAUGCCAACUUUCAACCACUGCAUUUUAAAUCACGAAUAAAAUCCCACAGCACUUCUGGUGAUUUAAUGUAAAACAGAAUAAAGACCAAGACAUGCU